AGACACUGCUUUGGGAACUAUCUCUUGUGUUCUCCUUACUUGUUACAAGUAAUAAAAUUGUCUUGCAAAGAAAAAGAAAAAGAAAACUGUCUUCCUAGCCUGGAUAAAAUCUUUCUCUCUUCAAACUCUCUCCUCUGGCAUGUGCUUAGGCUUUUAGGAAUAAAACCCAGGAAGUCCUGUCUCAGACCUCCCAUAAGACAAGGGAGCCCAGGGUCUUCUAUCUGCUUGAAUGCAGGCAGAGAAAAUACAAAAUAUCUCAAAAUGUUAUCGUGUCACAAAUGUUGUCUUGCUUUUGGACUCUUUAGUUCCUGGGUCUGGACCAUGGUAAAUCUGAUUUCCACAACAUGACAUAGAUGCAAAGUGCUUGUGGUAGUUUGAAAUCCAGCUUACUAUAAUGUUGAUUAAGAAACAUGAGUCUCAUCUCCACACAACUGUUAGAAUGACUAUUAUCAAAAAGACGAAUGAUAAUAAGUAUUGGCAAGAGGUAGAGAAGGGGAACUCUUGCACACUUGUGGUAAGACUAUUAAUUAGUAUGGCCAUUAUGAAAAACAGUAUGAAGUUUCCUCAAAAAACUAAAAAUAGAAUUACCAUAUGAUCCAGCAAUCCCACUACUGGGUGUGUAUCCAAAUAAAAUAAAAUCAGUAUGUCAAAGAGAUAUCUGCACUCCCAUGUCCACUGCAGCAUUAUUCACAAUAGCCAAGGCAUGGAAUCCAUCUAAGUGCCCUUCAGUGGAAAAAAUGGAUAAAGUAAGUGUGGAAUAUAUACACAAUGGGACACUCUUCAGCCUUUAAAAAGAAGAAAAUCCUGUUAUUUGCACAACAUGAGUAAACCUGGUGGACAUUAUGUUAAGUGAAAUAGGCCAGGAACAGAAAGACAAAUACUACAUGAUUUCACUUAUAUGUGAAAAAAGUUGAUCUCAUAGAAGUAAAGAGUAGAAUGGUGGUUACCAGAGGCUGGAUGGGGGCAGUUGGAAUUGGGGAGAUGUUCGUCAAAGGAUAUACAAUUUCAGUUAGACAAGAGGAAUAAGUUCAAGAGACCUAUUGUACAACUUGGUGAUAAUAGUUAAUAAUAACGUAUACUUGAAAAUUGCUAAGACAGUAGAUGUAAAUGUAGUAGUAAAAUGUUCUCACCAUAAAAAAUAAGUUUGUGAGGUCACGCAUAUGUUAAUUAGCUUGAUUUAGAUAUUACACAAUGUAUACAUAUUUUAAGACAUCAUGCUGUACACCAUAAUAUAUACAAUUUUUAUUUGUCAAUUAAAACAUUUUUUAAAAAACACAUGAAUCUCAUGGUACAUGGACUUGCAUUAAAGAUUGGGGUUCAAAUUCUGCCCCUUACUACUUACCUAGCAUGGUAAGUAACGAUCUUGGUGUUUUGCCUUUUCUUUCCUUUGCCCCAUCUCUCUACUGCUAUUUAGUUGAGACCUCCAUCAUCUUUCACCAAGAUCAACAUAACAGUCUCCUAACUGGUCUCUCUGUCUCCAAUCUUACCCUCUACAGUCUGUCAUCAAUCCUAAUGAUAAAUGGAAAUGUGGUCAUCCAAAGUCCUCCAUCAAAACCCUUCAGUGACUCCCCAUUGGCCAGAGGGCAAAGUUGGAGCUUCAAAGCAAUGAUUCAUAGUUAAUUCAAUGAUCUUUGUAAUCCUUUAUGAUCAGUUUCCUCUUUUCACUCAGUGGCAGAUACUUGUAGUUGUCCUCAAAUUUCAUACUCUCAUUUUUCUUUAUUAAUAUAACCACACAUUUUUAACUGAGCUCAUUGAUCAUCAUAACAGAGUCUAUUGAAAGUCCUCAGCAGGCGGUGUGACGAUGUGACCAGCUCUGGCCAAGGAGCUGUAGGCAGAAGUGUCUUGCAGCAGCUCCUGUAAAUCUUAAAAGACAGCUGGUGCGUGUCUUUUUUCCUUUUUUUUUCCCUUCCCCCUUCCUGCUGCGCUGAAUAUGGAUAUGGUGAGUGAAUCUAGAGCAGCCAUUUGGAGGUAUGAAGAGAUCUUGGAAAUAGAGGCCAUGUGUGUUGAAACAAGACCGAACAACUCCAAGUUCCUGAAGACUUCAUUUCACCAACCCAGAACCUCCUUGAUCAUCACAGCCUUUGCAUGGAUGAUUGUCUGUCCUCUGUUGGGCCCCUUCUGAAGAGUUGGAGUUGGCUUUAUACAAUUAUUCCCAAAUCUUCUAAACUGACAGUGAGGGAGAGUAAUUUGAAAGGACUGCUCAACUCAACGUCAUUUGAAGAUUUGCACCACAGCUGCAUUUUUCCAAUUUCCUGGCAUCUAUUCUGCUCUCCUGGACUUUUCAAAAACAAUUUCUUUCAGAUCCCUGGAGGCCUCUCCCAGGGCCUGUGGUGUGGAGAGUUGGACUUGACCCUACUGUAAGAGACCCAACUUCCAAAGACUGCAUCAGAUGAAAGGCUCUCCAUAUAGACUACAGACUUGUCAGCUGGUUAAGGAGGCAAACAGAACAGUCUGCUACAAACUCCAGUCCAUGUAUCUGUGCUGAAAAUAAAAGGAGUCUUCAGGAAUCAAAGAAGAAAAUAUUUUUAUAAAGAAAUUUUAUUGCAUAAUUCUUGUAUACAAUAAACAUAGGAAAAGGGUUUUUAAUGAAAAUUCAUGUCAUUUUU
rnacentral:lncRNA from 1 species